rnacentral:rRNA from 1 species
AGAGCGAACGCUGGCGGCAGGCCUAAUACAUGCAAGUCGAACGGACCCUUCGGGGUUAGUGGCGGACGGGUGAGUAACACGUGGGAACGUGCCCUUUGGUUCGGAACAACUCAGGGAAACUUGAGCUAAUACCGGAUGUGCCCUUCGGGGGAAAGAUUUAUCGCCAUUGGAGCGGCCCGCGUCUGAUUAGCUAGUUGGUGGGGUAAAGGCCUACCAAGGCUACGAUCAGUAGCUGGUCUGAGAGGAUGAUCAGCCACACUGGGACUGAGACACGGCCCAGACUCCUACGGGAGGCAGCAGUAGGGAAUCUUGCGCAAUGGGCGAAAGCCUGACGCAGCCAUGCCGCGUGAAUGAUGAAGGUCUUAGGAUUGUAAAAUUCUUUCAGCGGGGACGAUAAUGACGGUACCGCAGAAGAAGCCCGGCUAACUCGUGCCAGCAGCCGC